ACGUAGGGUGCGAGCGUUGUCCGGAAUUACUGGGCGUAAAGGGCUCGUAGGUGGUUUGUCGCGUCGUCUGUGAAAUUCCGGGGCUUAACUCCGGGCGUGCAGGCGAUACGGGCAUAACUUGAGUACUGUAGGGGUAACUGGAAUUCCUGGUGUAGCGGUGAAAUGCGCAGAUAUCAGGAGGAACACCGAUGGCGAAGGCAGGUUACUGGGCAGUUACUGACGCUGAGGAGCGAAAGCAUGGGUAGCGAACAGG
rnacentral:rRNA from 1 species